rnacentral:rRNA from 1 species
UACGUAGGGGGCUAGCGUUGUCCGGAAUCAUUGGGCGUAAAGAGCGUGUAGGCGGCCCGGUAAGUCCGCUGUGAAAGUCGGGGGCUCAACCCUCGGAUGCCGGUGGAUACUGUCGGGCUCGAGUACGGAAGAGGCGAGUGGAAUUCCUGGUGUAGCGGUGAAAUGCGCAGAUAUCAAGGAGGAACACCUAUUGCGAAGGCAGCUCGCUGGGACGUUACUGACGCUGAGACGCGAAAGCGUGGGAGC